rnacentral:rRNA from 1 species
GAUGAACGCUGGCGGCGUGCCUAAUACAUGCAAGUCGAGCGAACGGACGAGAAGCUUGCUUCUCUGAUGUUAGCGGCGGACGGGUGAGUAACACGUGGAUAACCUACCUAUAAGACUAGGAUAACUUCGGGAAACCGGAGCUAAUACCGGAUGAUAUUUUGAACCGCAUGGUUCAAAAGUGAAAGACGGUCUUGCUGUCACUUAUAGAUGGAUCCGCGCUGCAUUAGCUAGUUGGUAAGGUAACGGCUUACCAAGGCAACGAUGCAUAGCCGACCUGAGAGGGUGAUAGGCCACACUGGAAGUGAGACACGGUCCAGACUCCUACGGGAGGCAGCAGUAGGGAAUCUGCCGCAAAGGGCGAAAGCCUGACGGAGCAACGCCGCGUGAGUGAUGAAGGUCUUCGGAUCGUAAAACUCUGUUAUUAGGGAAGAACAUAUGUGUAAGUAACUGUGCACAUCUUGACGGUACCUAAUCAGAAAGCCACGGCUAACUACGUG